UCGGGACAGAGAGAGCGGCGUACGGGUGCGUAACACGUGUGCAACCUACCUUUAUCAGGAGGAUAGCCUUUCGAAAGGAAGAUUAAUACUCCAUAAUAUAUUAGAUGGCAUCAUUUAAUAUUGAAAACUCCGGUGGAUAGAGAUGGGCACGCGCAAGAUUAGAUAGUUGGUGAGGUAACGGCUCACCAAGUCAUUGAUCUUUAGGGGUCCUGAGAGGGAGAUCCCCCACACUGGUACUGAGACACGGACCAGACUCCUACGGGAGGCAGCAGUGAGGAAUAUUGGACAAUGGGUGAGAGCCUGAUCCAGCCAUCCCGCGUGAAGGAUGACGGUCCUACGGAUUGUAAACUUCUUUUGUAUAGGGAUAAACCCAGAUACGUGUAUCUGGCUGAAGGUACUAUACGAAUAAGCACCGGCUAACUCCGUGCCAGCAGCCGCGGUAAUACGGAGGGUGCAAGCGUUAUCCGGAUUUAUUGGGUUUAAAGGGUCCGCAGGCGGGCCGAUAAGUCAGUGGUGAAAUCUCAUAGCUUAACUAUGAAACUGCCAUUGAUACUGUCGGUCUUGAGUAAAUUAGAGGUAGCUGGAAUAAGUAGUGUAGCGGUGAAAUGCAUAGAUAUUACUUAGAACACCAAUUGCGAAGGCAGGUUACCAUGAUUUAACUGAC
rnacentral:rRNA from 2 species